rnacentral:rRNA from 1 species
AGCAGCCGCGGUAAUUCCAGCUCCAAUAGCGUAUAUUAAAGUUGUUGCAGUUAAAAAGCUCGUAGUUGAAUUUCGGGAUUAGUACGUUGGUCGUGCCUUCGGUACGUACUGGUGUUACUGAUUCCUACCUUCUGACGAACCAUCAUGUCAUUAAUUUGGUGUGGUGGGGAAUCAGGACUGUUACUUUGAAAAAAUUAGAGUGUUUAAAGCAGGCUCGCGCUUGAAUACAUUAGCAUGGAAUAAUGAAAUAGGACGUUGACCCUAUUUUGUUGGUUUCUAGGAUUGACGUAAUGAUUAAUAGGGAUAGUUGGGGGCAUUAGUAUUCAAUUGUCAGAGGUGAAAUUCUUGGAUUUAUUGAAGACUAACUACUGCGAAAGCAUUUGCCAAGGAUGUUUUCAUUAAUCAAGAACGAAAGUUAGGGGAUCGAAGACGAUCAGAUACCGUCGUAGUCCUAACCAUAAACUAUGCCGACUAGGGAUCGGAUGAUGUUAUUUUUAAUGACUCA